GCCUUUGUGGUGUAACGGUAACACACUCGGCGUGUAUUCGAGAGGUCCAGGUUCGAGUCCCGGCGAGGGCA
rnacentral:tRNA from 1 species